GCAGUCCAGGACCAUGAGCAACAGGUGCUGAGCAGCCCUGCACCGAAUGCUGGUUUAAAAAAAAACACUCCAAAUUUGGUGAGCACAACCGGAGCCGGUGGAAGCGUAACAGCGCUCGAGCUAAGCAAACAGCACACCUUGCGGAGCAGCUAAGGGCAAGGGGAGAGCUGUGGGAGCGCACGGGGAAGGGGAACAGAACCCAGGCCGCGGAAACCGACUCCACCUUUCUGCGGACGGGGGAGCAGAUGGAGAACCGGGGUGGGUCCGCAAAGAGAUGGAAUAAGAAAAGGCAAGAAAAAAAGAGAGAGAGCAAGUCUUGUUUAUACUACCGUUGAAGACAAGCUGUCGAAUAAACCUGUGCUCCAU